CUGAGGCCCAGGGCGGGGACCAAAAGCCGCGCGCUUGUGACGAUGUCGCUGCGGGGCACGCUAAGGGGCGGAGAGGAAAUUUAGGGCCUGCCUUUUGUACAUUCGGUUAUUCAGCCCAGAAAUAUGUAUUCAACCCCAGGCGCGUGCCUGGCAUUGUGGAAGGCGACACGUGAGGAGAAUUGUGACUGGCCCAGAUGUCACCCCCCCCCAGCCCAGUAGUCAUUCUUCUCUGGAAGUCCUUACCCAUCUCACCUGUUCAUUCUUCAACCCCCAGUUUCCCGACCUUUUUCCUCAAGCCACGCCCUUCCACGCUUUCUUGUCUUUUCUGUGGUGUUCCUUCAGUCUAGAAUAUUCUCCACCUAGUACAAUCCUGCUCCUCCCCUGACAUUCUGCUGAAAUUGCACUCUUCAGCCUUCCCAGCUACCAGGAUGAGACAACUCUACUCAGACCCAAGCACACCAAGCCAGGAAUGCACAAAGGACGGCUGAUGUUUGAGAUAAGAACUGUCUCAAGGACUUUCUAUAAUAACCACACAAGGAAUUCCUCAUGUAAAGAGGAUUCAGAUCAAACUGAACAUCAG
rnacentral:lncRNA from 10 species